AUGUGGCUGAUGCCGCGGUCACUGAUCUGGCUCAGUGGACUGAAGAACGUGCCACCAUGGUGGCUUUGCUGCGUCAGCACCUUAACAGAGCUCGGCAGGAUAUAUUGGGUGUUCCUCAAGCUGCAACCAUACGCACAAUCGUCGGUGGCAGCACGCGCUAACCACAAGCUUGCCUUUCGAUUCUUUGGACCGUUUCAGGUGCUGCAACGUGUGGGUGAAGUGGCGUACAAGCUUGCACUCCCAGAGCACUCCAGGAUCCAUCCCGUCAUCCAUGUCUCACAGCUGCGGGCCGGCCUUCCCCCGGCCACGAGUGCGAUGCCAGAACUUCCAGUACUCGACGAGGAUCUUCUUCCACUACAAGUACCCGAAGCUAUCCUCAAGAAACGUCGCGUCCAACGCGGAGCUCGGCAAGUGAAGCAAGUUCUAGUGCAAUGGUCGGGCUUCCCUGCAUCCUUGGCAACCUGGGAGGACAAGAUUCCGCUGCGGUCUCGUUUUCCCCGAGCGCUGGCUUGGGGUCAAGCCAAGCGUAAAGGAAGGGGAAAUGUCACGGGAACUACACCAAGCAACCAGAGUGAGCCGGCCCAAGUGAAGCCCACCAGGCCGCAGCGCAGCAAGCAGCCCAACCAGCGCUACGCCGGGCCAGACUGGAGCCAGUGA
rnacentral:rRNA from 1 species